rnacentral:rRNA from 1 species
GAACGCACCGCAAGGUGAGUGGCAGACGGGUGAGUAACGCGUGGGAACCUUCCCUGUGGUGCGGAAUAACGUCGGGAAACCGAAGCUAAUACCGUAUAUCUCCUCCGGGAGAAAGAUUUAUCGCCAUAGGAUGGGCCCGCGUUGGAUUAGCUAGUUGGUAGGGUAAUGGCCUACCAAGGCAACGAUCCAUAGCUGGUCUGAGAGGAUGAUCAGCCACACUGGGACUGAGACACGGCCCAGACUCCUACGGGAGGCAGCAGUGGGGAAUAUUGGACAAUGGGCGCAAGCCUGAUCCAGCCAUGCCGCGUGAGUGAAGAAGGCCUUAGGGUUGUAAAGCUCUUUUGGCGGGGACGAUAAUGACGGUACCCGCAGAAUAAGCCCCGGCUAACUUCGUG